GACGAACGCUGGCGGCGUGCUUAACACAUGCAAGUCGAACGGUGAAGGGGUCUGCUUUUGUGGGCCCUGGAUGAGUGGCGAACGGGUGAGUAACACGUGAGUAACCUGCCCCCUUCUUCUGGAUAACCGCAUGAAAGUGUGGCUAAUACGGGAUAUUCUGGGUCUGUCGCAUGAUGGGUCUGGGAAAGAUUGCGCCUUUGGGUGUUUUUGGUGGGGGAUGGGCUCGCGGCCUAUCAGCUUGUUGGUGGGGUGAUGGCCUACCAAGGCGGUGACGGGUAGCCGGCCUGAGAGGGUGGACGGUCACACUGGGACUGAGACACGGCCCAGACUCCUACGGGAGGCAGCAGUGGGGAAUAUUGCACGAUGGGCGCAAGCCUGAUGCAGCGACGCCGCGUGAGGGAUGGAGGCCUUCGGGUUGUAAACCUCUUUCGCCAGUGAAGCAGGCCUGCUCCUUGUGGGUGGGUUGACGGUAGCUGGAUAAGAAGCGCCGGCUAACUACGUG
rnacentral:rRNA from 1 species